rnacentral:rRNA from 1 species
UACGGGGGGAGCAAGCGUUGUUCGGAUUUACUGGGCGUAAAGGGCGCGUAGGCGGUCAGCACAAGUCAGUUGUGAAAUCUCCGGGCUUAACUCGGAAAGGUCAACUGAUACUGUGCGACUAGAGUGCAGAAGGGGCAACUGGAAUUCUCGGUGUAGCGGUGAAAUGCGUAGAUAUCGAGAGGAACACCUGCGGCGAAGGCGGGUUGCUGGGCUGAUACUGACGCUGAGGCGCGAAAGCGUGGGGAGCGAACAGG